UGUAGUGUGCAUCUUAAUUUCUGAUUAGAACAAAUCUGAUCAUCUGAGUUUCUGGUGGAGGUCUUCAGUUAAUGCUGUUAUGUACAUUUGUGUCAUUAAUCAUGGGCAGGUCAUAUUUCACCCCAAAACCAAGAAACUGUGUAAAGAUGUAAUUUAAGAAUUAUUUCUGUUGUUGUUGUAGUUCAUUAGUCAAUCCCUCCUAUAUUUCAGAAACCACAGCAAACAUAUACAGAGAAUAUUCGUUCAAUCGUAAUAACAUUUGUAAAGUAUAAUGUUAGCAUUUGUUGUGCUUUCAGUUUAAUUCUGAUUUUAUUUUAAAUGUUGUAGUAUUGUGUCUAACAGGAGGAUCUUCAUUACUGCAUCACAGUAAGAAGGCAUUCUUUUCUAAUUUUGGCCAGAAUUGAAGAGCUUUAAAGCAGUGAUUUGGGGAUGAAAUAUUAAAUAAGACAUUUCUCUCUCAGGCACAGCUUCAGAGCUGAUUGUGGUUCCUCUGGAAGCUCACAGGAUCAGAGGUUAGUGUUGUUUGGACGUGUUCUGUUGAAACUGAAGUAAUUUGACAGCUGUUGCAUGAGCAUUUAAUGUCUGCGGCUGAAUCGUGUUUGUAUCCUGCUCUGUUUUCUGACAGAAUCGUGUCACAUUUACACACAUGCAGCGUUUCAAUCAUUUCCAUCAUUACCUUGAUCCAGUCCAAUUCUAUCGUAUUUAAAAAUCUCUAGCCUUUAUCUACAAAAAUAUAAUGUGGAAAGUGUAUGUUAUUUAACAGUAAUGCUGUGUUUUUAAUUUCCCUUGACUCUCGCAGAGCUCGGUCUUGUUUGUUCAAAGUCACAGAAACCCGAUCUUCAGGCGAGCAGAUAUUAAUAGUGUGUGUGGGAUCUCCUGAGAGCCUGUGUUUGGCGUGUAAUCGAACCCUUGGCUCUGGGGUCAGUCGUCCACCGCAGGAACUGCUCAAUCUCAGAUCACAGGAGCACAUUCUCAGCAGAGACUCUGAUCAGUUCUCAGAAGGAUGGAGAUCUGGACUGAUGUUGGAUGGAAAGCACAUCUUGUAUCUUUGUAAUGUGUUUUCAGCUGGAAGGUUGGGAUGUUCUUCAUGUGCUGUAAAAAAGAUUCUAAAAUAAAGUAAAAUAAUUAUUUUAGAGUACAUAUUGCAAUAAAAAAACAAAACAAAUCCA
ensembl:lncRNA